rnacentral:rRNA from 1 species
UACGGGAGGCAGCAGUAGGGAAUCUUCGGCAAUGGACGGAAGUCUGACCGAGCAACGCCGCGUGAGUGAAGAAGGUUUUCGGAUCGUAAAGCUCUGUUGUAAGAGAAGAACGAGUGUGAGAGUGGAAAGUUCACACUGUGACGGUAUCUUACCAGAAAGGGACGGCUAACUACGUGCCAGCAGCCGCGGUAAUACGUAGGGUGCGAGCGUUGUCCGGAAUUACUGGGCGUAAAGAGCUCGUAGGUGGUUUGUCGCGUCGUUUGUGGAAUACCGCAGCUUAACUGCGGGGUUGCAGGCGAUACGGGCAUAACUUGAGUGCUGUAGGGGAGACUGGAAUUCCUGGUGUAGCGGUGGAAUGCGCAGAUAUCAGGAGGAACACCGAUGGCGAAGGCAGUUCUCUGGGCCGUUACUGACGCUGAGGAGCGAAAGCGUGGGGAGCGAACAGGAUUAGAUACCCUGGUAG